rnacentral:rRNA from 1 species
GUGGGGAAUAUUGGACAAUGGGGGGAACCCUGAUCCAGCCAUGCCGCGUGUGUGAAGAAGGCCUUUUGGUUGUAAAGCACUUUAAGCGAGGAGGAGGCUACCGAGAUUAAUACUCUUGGAUAGUGGACGUUACUCGCAGAAUAAGCACCGGCUAACUCUGUGCCAGCAGCCGCGGUAAUACAGAGGGUGCCAGCGUGAAUCGGAUUUACUGGGCGUAAAGCGCGCGUAGGUGGCCAAUUAAGUCAAAUGUGAAAUCCCCGAGCGUAACUUGGGAAUUGCAGUCGAUACUGGUUGGCUAGAGUAUGGGAGAGGAUGGUAGAAUUCCAGGUGUAGCGGUGAAAUGCGUAGAGAUCUGGAGGAAUACCGAUGGCGAAGGCAGCCAUCUGGCCUAAUACUGACACUGAGGUGCGAAAGCAUGGGGAGCAAACAGGAUUAGAUACCCGGGUAGUCC